GGUGCCAUAGCUUAGUGGUGAAGCGCUCGCUUCACAAACGAGUGGCCAGUGGUCUGGUGCCU
rnacentral:tRNA from 1 species